AGAAUCAACGCUGGCGGCGUGCCUAACACAUGCAAGUCGAACGCGAAAGUUCCGCAAGGAAUUAGUAGAGUGGCAAACGGGUGAGUAACACGUGGGUGACCUGCCUUCGAGUGGGGGAUAACGUCCCGAAAGGGACGCUAAUACCGCAUAAUAUCCUGCCUUUUAAGAGGUGGAAAUCAAAGCUGGGGAUCGCAAGACCUGGCGCUUGAAGAGGGGCCCGCGUCCGAUUAGCUAGUUGGUGGGGUAACGGCUCACCAAGGCGACGAUCCGUAGCUGGUCUGAGAGGACGACCAGCCACACUGGGACUGAGACACGGCCCAGACUCCUACGGGAGGCAGCAGUGGGGAAUCUUGGACAAUGGGCGCAAGCCUGAUCCAGCCAUGCCGCGUGGAUGAUGAAGGCCCUAGGGUUGUAAAAUCCUUUCGCCGAGGACGAUAAUGACGGUACUCGGAGAAGAAGCUCCGGCUAACUUCGUGCCAGCAGCCGC
rnacentral:rRNA from 1 species